CCUACGGGAGGCAGCAGUUGGGAAUAUUGCUCAAUGGGGGAAACCCUGAAGCAGCAACGCCGCGUGGAGGAUGAAGGUUUUCGGAUUGUAAACUCCUUUUGUUAGAGAAGAUAAUGACGGUAUUUAACCAAUAAGCAUCGGCUAACUCCGUGCCAGCAGCCGCGGCAAUACGGAGGGUGCAAGCGUUACUCGGAAUCAUUGGGCGUAAAGAGCGCGUAGGCGGGAGAGUAAGUCAGAUGUGAAAUCCCAUGGCUUAACCAUAGAACUGCAUUUGAAACUGGUAGUCUAGAGUAUGGGAGAGGUAGGUGGAAUUUAUGGUGUAGGGGUAAAAUCCGUAGAGAUCAAGAAGAAUACUGAAUGCGAAGGCGGCCUACUAGAACAUAACUGACGCUGAGGCGCGAAAGCGUGGGGAGCAAACAGGAUUAGAUACCCGUGUAGUC
rnacentral:rRNA from 1 species